rnacentral:rRNA from 1 species
ACUCCUACGGGAGGCAGCAGUGGGGAAUAUUGCACAAUGGGCGCAAGCCUGAUGCAGCCAUGCCGCGUGUAUGAAGAAGGCCUUCGGGUUGUAAAGUACUUUCAGCAGUGAGGAAGGUGGGUAUGUUAAUACGCAUACUCAUUUGACGUUAGCUGCAGAAGAAGCACCGGCUAACUCCGUGCCAGCAGCCGCGGUAAUACGGAGGGUGCGAGCGUUAAUCGGAAUUACUGGGCGUAAAGCGCAUGCAGGUGGUUUGUUAAGUCAGAUGUGAAAGCCCGGGGCUCAACCUCGGAAUUGCAUUUGAAACUGGCAAACUAGAGUACUGUAGAGGGGGGUAGAAUUUCAGGUGUAGCGGUGAAAUGCGUAGAGAUCUGAAGGAAUACCGGUGGCGGAAGGCGGCCCCCCUGGACGAGAUACUGACACUCAGAUGCGAAAGCGUGGGGAGCAAACCAGGAUUAGAUACCCCUGGUAGGCGUAG